rnacentral:rRNA from 1 species
GUGGGGAAUCUUGCGCAAUGGGCGAAAGCCUGACGCAGCCAUGCCGCGUGAAUGAUGAAGGUCUUAGGAUUGUAAAAUUCUUUCACCGGGGACGAUAAUGACGGUACCCGGAGAAGAAGCCCCGGCUAACUUCGUGCCAGCAGCCGCGGUAAUACGAAGGGGGCUAGCGUUGCUCGGAAUUACUGGGCGUAAAGGGCGCGUAGGCGGGCAGUUUAGUCAGAGGUGAAAGCCCAGGGCUCAACCUUGGAAUUGCCUUUGAUACGGGCUGUCUUGAGUACGGGAGAGGUGAGUGGAACUCCGAGUGUAGAGGUGAAAUUCGUAGAUAUUCGGAAGAACACCAGUGGCGAAGGCGACUCACUGGCCCAAUACUGACGCUGAGGCGCGAAAGCGUGGGGAGCAAACAGGAUUAGAAACCCGAGUAGUCC